rnacentral:rRNA from 1 species
CGAUCUGGCUCAGGAUGAACGCUAGCUACAGGCUUAACACAUGCAAGUCGAGGGGCAGCAUGUUGGUGCUUGCAACCAAUGAUGGCGACCGGCGCACGGGUGAGUAACGCGUAUCCAACCUUCCCUAUAGUAGAGGAUAGCCCGGCGAAAGUCGGAUUAAUACUCUAUGUUUUCCAAUGCAGACAUCUAAAAUGGAACAAAGGUUCACCGCUAUAGGAUGGGGAUGCGUCUGAUUAGGUAGUCGGCGGGGUAACGGCCCACCGAGCCUGCGAUCAGUAGGGGUUCUGAGAGGAAGGUCCCCCACAUUGGAACUGAGACACGGUCCAAACUCCUACGGGAGGCAGCAGUGAGGAAUAUUGGUCAAUGGGCGCGAGCCUGAACCAGCCAAGUAGCGUGCAAGGAUGACGGCCCUAUGGGUUGUAAACUGCUUUUAUGCGGGGAUAAAGUGCACCACGUGUGGUGUUUUGUAGGUACCGCAUGAAUAAGGACCGGCUAAUUCCGUGCCAGCCGCAGC